AUGAACGCUGGCGGCGUGCCUCAUACAUGCCAGUCGAGCGAACAGACGAGGAGCUUGCUCCUCUGACGUUAGCGGCGGACGGGUGAGUAACACGUGGAUAACCUACCUAUAGGACUGGGAUAACUUCGGGAAACCGGAGCUAAUACCGGAUAAUAUAUUGAACCGCAUGGUUCAAUAGUGAAAGACGGUUUUGCUGUCACUUAUAGAUGGAUCCGCGCCGCAUUAGCUAGUUGGUAAGGUAACGGCUUACCAAGGCAACGAUGCGUAGCCGACCUGAGAGGGUGAUCGGCCACACUGGAACUGAGACACGGUCCAGACUCCUACGGGAGGCAGCAGUAGGGAAUCUUCCGCAAUGGGCGAAAGCCUGACGGAGCAACGCCGCGUGAGUGAUGAAGGUCUUCGGAUCGUAAAACUCUGUUAUUAGGGAAGAACAAAUGUGUAAGUAACUAUGCACGUCUUGACGGUACCUAAUCAGAAAGCCACGGCUAACUACGUG
rnacentral:rRNA from 1 species